rnacentral:rRNA from 1 species
UACGGAGGGUGCAAGCGUUAUCCGGAUUCACUGGGUUUAAAGGGUGCGUAGGCGGACAGGUAAGUCAGUGGUGAAAUCUCUGGGCUUAACCCAGAAACUGCCGUUGAUACUAUUUGUCUUGAAUAUCCUGGAGGUAGGCGGAAUAUGUCAUGUAGCGGUGAAAUGCUUAGAUAUGACAUAGAACACCGAUAGCGAAGGCAGCUUACUACGCCUAUAUUGACGCUGAGGCACGAAAGCGUGGGGAUCAAACAGG